GCUUUCCUGGGGUGUGCGUUGACCUAAUGUUUUAACCCACACAGUACUGAGAAGGGGCACCGGGUUCGCAGAUGUAUAACAUGCCCCGUUUUUAGGGGAAGUUAAAAGUCUGUGACAGGUAUCCCACCUGCCGGGAGGCGGGUAAAAAUAUUAGGUUAAACAACGGCAUCUCGGGAAAACU
rnacentral:other from 1 species